rnacentral:rRNA from 1 species
UACGUAGGGUGCGAGCGUUGUCCGGAAUUAUUGGGCGUAAAGAGCUCGUAGGUGGUUUGUCGCGUUGUCCGUGAAAACUCACAACUCAAUUGUGGGCGUGCGGGCGAUACGGGCAGACUGGAGUACUGCAGGGGAGACUGGAAUUCCUGGUGUAGCGGUGGAAAUGCGCAGAUAUCAGGAGGAACACCAGUGGCGAAGGCGGGUCUCUGGGCAGUAACUGACGCUGAGGAGCGAAAGCAUGGGGAGCGAACAGGA